UACAGAGGUCCCGAAGCGUUGUUCGGAUUCACUGGGCGUAAAGGGUGCGUAGGCGGUCGGGUAAGUCUGAUGUGAAAUCGUCACAGCUUAACUGUGAAACUGCAUUGGAUACUAUUCGGCUUGAGAGUUGGAGGGGGGACUGAAUUCUUGGUGUAGCAGUGAAAUGCGUAGAUAUCAAGAGGAACACCAGUGGCGAAGGCGAGUCCCUGGACAACUUCUGACGCUGAGGCACGAAAGCUAGGGGAGCAAACAGG
rnacentral:rRNA from 1 species